AUUCCUUUCCCCUCACCGUUUGAGGCUCCUCUUGUAGGACUCUCCCCUCCAUCGCAUUCAUCCUGGCUUUCCUUCCUCGGUGCUCUUUUUCCACACUGAGUACAGCUUUUGGGAGCAGCACUGUGGCAGCAUCUUGGACUUUUGCACGCUUCCUCUUUCUCUCCUCUGGGAGAGUGUUUACCGGCCAGGCCCCCUUUGUCUCGCUCUUCCUGCCUUUCUUCCAGAGUGAAUUCUGCAGCAGGAUCCUCCCUGACACCCUGCUGCCUCUUUCUGUUCACGUCUGUUUUCUCCCGGGCUGCUGGAUUGCUGGACUUCCUCCAUCUCCGGCCGGAUCGCACCCUCACCCGGUUUACUCCGUUAUGGGCCGGCGGAGUCAGUCCGUGGUCCCUCCUCCCGGCUGGGAUGUCUCUGCCUCCUCCUGUCUUCCCCCUCAGCCAUCCCCCCACCACGCUGGAGGCUGCGCCGGCAGUCACAGCGGACCCAGGCUUCGCCGUGGAGUACAAAAAGCUCCCUUUCUCAGUCCGGAGGAAGAGGCAUUGGGUCUGUGUCUUCCCGCUGCCCUCGGAGGUCUUCAGAGUGGCAACUGUGACCAAAGAUCCGAUCCCAGCCUGCCUGGCAUCCAGCCCCAAUGGAAGGCCGUACCCCAUGCAACCCCACUCCCUGUUAAGGUACACAUCCGCAGGCCGGGUGCAGGAGGUCGAACCUCCACGGCCCGCAGGAGAAGUUAUGGGCGCUUGUCCCCCACUCAGGAGACCACCAGCCUUCCGGCGGUUCUUGGAGCACAGGGCCCAGGCUCGGAGGCCCCGGAUUAGCGGCAGAUCUCCAAGGCCCAGCUCCAUUCGGCUGGGGAAGGGCAAAGAGGCUCGGGAGCACUUCUGCAGCAUCUCCCUGGUGGAGGCCGACACAUUCAGAUAUUCUAAUUUCGGUGUUUUCAGCAAUUUUUUUAAAUCCACUUCAGCUUCUGCCAUUUCUGUAUUUUCUGAAAUUAAAGAGGUUCUCGUGGACCUGGAGCCCAAUGUCAUCGAUGAGGUGGACAGGGGGACUUACUGCCGCCUGUUCCACCCUGAGCAGCUGAUCACUGCUUAGGAGGAUGCUGCUAACAAUUAAGCCUGUGGAAACAAUAUCACAGGCGUAGUGCUGGACAGGAUUCCCAAGCUGUCUGACCAGCUCCAGAGGUGGGACCGGCUUCACCUCUCCCCUGAUGGAGCAUCUGUCUGUCGACUACAUCCUAAGACACCACAGACUCUAACGCUACGUACCUGAAUCCCUACCGGCUGCUCCAAGGGACUCUCCUCCAGUCCGUAACCUGGAACUCGGACUACCCUCCAGUUAACGUUCCAUCCUGAUCAUCUGCCUGCCUAUUCAUUAUAUAUCCGUCUGGUUCCGCUAUCUUGUCAAUAAACUAUUGUACUUACCUCACGGCUGUCUCUUGUACCCCAUUCGUGACAGAUUUGAAGUCUGGUCUAACUGAGCUGUUAUUAAACAAACUUGUGCGUGG
ensembl:lncRNA